GACGAACGCUGGCGGCGUGCUUAACACAUGCAAGUCGAGCAGAAAGGCCCUUUCGGGGGUACUCGAGCGGCGAACGGGUGAGUAACACGUGAGUAAUCUGCCCUUCACUUGGGGAUAACUACCGGAAACGGUGGCUAAUACCCGAUAUGACCAAUCACUGCAUGGUGUGUUGGUGGAAAGUUUUUUCGGUGGAGGAUGUGCUCGCGGCCUAUCAGCUUGUUGGUGGGGUAAUGGCCUACCAAGGCUUCGGCGGGUAGCCGGCAUGAGAGGGUGACCGGCCACACUGGGACUGAGACACGGCCCAGACUCCUACGGGAGGCAGCAGUGGGGAAUAUUGGACAAUGGGCGAAAGCCUGAUCCAGCGACGCCGCGUGAGGGAUGACGGCCUUCGGGUUGUAAACCUCUUUCAGCGGGGACGAAGCGCCGGUAAUGGUGGUGACGGUACCCGCAGAAGAAGCACCGGCCAACUACGUGCCAGCAGCAGCCGCAG
rnacentral:rRNA from 1 species